rnacentral:lncRNA from 1 species
CACGAACAUCCUUCAAAUAAGACUAAGAACCUUAGUACUAAUUCAGAGAGUCAAAUUUACAACUAAUGGCAACUAAAUUUACAUUCAGCUUCUGCAGUGGGCAACAAAAAAAUCAUGAAAUGGAAAGAACAAAUACAUGAAAAGAAAAACAAUGCAAGAUCCAGACAAUACAAGAACAAAAGCCAGAAAACUGAAACCUCCGUAACAGAGCAUGGUGGCACCAAAUUAUGUGACAAUAGUAAUUGGAAAAAGAGGAAUUAUAUCAUUAUAGAUAACAGCCAUCAAGGGAAUGAUACAAUUGUGUUCCCUGAAAAAACAUUUUCGUUCUUUUGAAUAUGUUCAUGUAACAACGGAUGGUAUGGCUCAAUAAUAACUUCAAUUACGUUAUUCACUCGAGAUAAGCCAUAUAAAUAUAGACAACCAAGUUAUCUUCCCUUUCAGUUACUUGAACUUGUCCAUCCCUUUCCUGCUCCGAAAAUAAUCUCACUUGGAACAACAAAAAAUCUGGGAGGUUAAUUUACAUCUCUUAAACAGUUGAAAAACUUCAUGCAUUGUUUGCAUCAAUCAGACAUGUCUUCCCCUCCACUGAAUUGAUCAUCAUCCAUGUCUUGCAAGCGUGAAACUUUACGCCUGUCAUCAUGACCGUCUUCAACAGGAGACCUUCCUCGCUUUGAGGGAAUAGCAACCUUUGAACUCGAAUGAUCCUGAACAAAAGGAACAGAAGAAGUGCAAGCUUGUGUUGUUAUAAGAAAUCAAUACUUCAACACGAAACUGAGCUUGAAUUCAAGUGAAAAGCUCUGAAGUGAUCACUGAUGUAAACAAUCACCUGUGGCCCAUAACAUGUAAACCCAUCUCCUUUUUCAACAAAUUUAUUAGUCAAGAACAUAGAAAUAGAAUAUGCUUUAAUGCCGCCAAAGUUUCAUACACAAUGCACACACAUUGAUG